rnacentral:rRNA from 1 species
GAUGAACGCUGGCGGCGUGCCUAAUACAUGCAAGUCGAGCGAACGGACGAGAAGCUUGCUUUUCUGAUGUUAGCGGCGGACGGGUGAGUAACACGUGUAUAACCUACCUAUAAGACUGGGAUAACUUCGGGAAACCGGAGCUAAUACCGGAUAAUAUUUUGAACCGCAUGGUUCAAAAGUGAAAGACGGUCUUGCUGUCUCUUAUAGAUGGAUCCGCGCUGCAUUAGCUAGUUGGUAAGGUAACGGCUUACCAAGGCAACGAUGCAUAGCCGACCUGAGAGGGUGAUCGGCCACACUGGAACUGAGACACGGUCCAGACUACUACGGGAGGCAGCAGUAGGGAAUCUUACGCAAUGGGCGAAAGCCUGACGGAGCAACGCCGCGUGAGUGAUGAAGGUCUUCGGAUCGUAAAACUCUGUUAUUAGGGAAGAACAUAUGUGUAAGUAAAUGUGCACAGAUUGACGGUAACUAAUCAGAAAGCAACGGCUAACUACGUG